AGCGUACCAUUUAAAGAGGAGAGGUGGGACCAGGAGUUCCCCCACGUGGGAUUGGAGUGCCUGUGUCAUCAGACCCUCGCACUGAAGACGGUAUAUGGAGGACAAAAGCUCAUCCCCAGGAAGGUCUCUUCCCAUCUGGGACCCAGGAGCCACAGAAUCAGCAGCUGCAAUGCAGGCACCAGAACAAGUAAACAGGUGACUUAGCAGGUGAGAAAGAGGAAAGAAGCUCCGACAUCUGGGAACUGGCCUGAUACAGCUAGGUUUGGAACUGUUAGGGGCUAACCUGGGCUCAUAGGUAGGAAAUGGUGCUCUCCUGCUGGACAGAAAGUCUCACAAAACACCAACAUCAGCCAAGGACACUCAGUAACUGUGAUGAAGUGAGGCAAAAAAGAAGACCACUUUGAAAUUGUGCUCAAGCACUAAACAAGCUAGUGCUGGAACCUGUGCUGUGCAGAAGAGAGGACAAGACCAGGGAUGUCCCCAACUUCCCAUCAGAGGACACACAAGCCCUCAGUCAGUCCUUCCUCUGCUGGCUUCA